GCGAAUUAUGGUAACUCGAAAGAUAGAAUGCCGUCUGUCGUCCUGCGAAUCUCAUGUCGCAUCUGAGCCAGACUCCGUCCGAGGAAGCCACAUUGUUAGCCCGGGGUUACAAGCUGCUAAGAAAGCUCGGCGAAGGUUGUUACGCAAAAGUAUACUUGGCCGAGUAUAAGCCGGAACACGAAUCAGAACGAAAUAACAUCCUAGCUUGCAAGAUCAUCAACACCACGAACGCACCGCGAGAUGUUGUCCGAAAGUUUCUGCCGCGCGAACUGGACAUUCUAGCGAAGCUGAAUCAUCCGCACGUUGUGCAUGUGCACAGUAUUUUUCAGAGGCAUACUAAAUACUUCAUAUUCAUGCGUUUCGCCGAGAAUGGUGAUCUUCUCGAUUUUGUAUUGAGGAAUGGCGUGGUAUCGGAGAACCAAACCCGCGUGUGGUUUAGGCAACUCGCUUUAGGUCUUCAGUAUCUACACGAGAUGGAAAUAGCGCAUCGCGACAUCAAAUGCGAGAACGUUCUCCUGACAGCCAAUUACAAUGUAAAAUUGGCAGACUUCGGUUUCGCCCGUUACACGAUCGACAGUCGUGGUAAGCACGUUUUGAGCGAUACGUACUGUGGCUCGCUGUCGUAUGCGGCGCCGGAGAUCCUCCGCGCCUAUCCGUACAAUCCCAAGAUAUCCGAUAUAUGGUCGUUGGGAGUGAUUCUGUACAUAUUGCUAAACAAGGCCAUGCCGUUUGAUGAAGAUAAUAUAAAACGUUUGUACGAGUUGCAAAUAGCACGCAAAUGGAAAUUUCGUAGUAAAAUAAAGGACAACGUGACCGAUGUCGUGAAGAAGCUCGUGAACAAUAUGCUUGAACCAGAUGUGUCUAAACGCUGGCGUUUGGAUCAGAUCGUGCAUGGCGAUUGGAUCGCCAUGGAUCCGCGUCUCAUGGUGCUUACUCCUGCGGAACAGUCCGCGCUGAACUACGCGAUCGAAGAACGAAAGAGACACGAAGAGAAGUUCACAAGGAGGGUACCGCCACAAACAGAGAGCCUCGUACGAUCGUUAUUUUUAAACAUUCUUGAUAAGUCCAAGUGUCUCUUAACAUCGCUUCCGUCGUAUAUCGUGUUAACGAUGCGUAGAACGCUGCUGGUCAUCUACCUGGCGUACACGCACUUUUUAUCGCACAUUGAAUUGCAAGAUUAACUGAACUUGCAAUGCAAUUGACAUCAAACGUGUCGAUUCGGUUACUUUUCGCAAUUCUAUAUAAUUAAGAAGAAUACAGAUAGCAAAUAGUGCCACGCGAGAUUACGAGUGACCGAUUUUCAGAAACGGUUCAAAGUCGAGGAGAGAAGGGGGAUCAACAAUGAUUACAGAUCGCGUGCAGCAGAGGAAGUAACGAUCCCUAAAGAUACCGUAAAAGCGACAGUUUCAACAGUUAUGACAGCUGGAACUUAGUUUAUAAAUCCUGGUCUCUA